rnacentral:misc_RNA from 1 species
GAUGAAGAACGUAGCGAAAUGCGAUACUUGGUGUGAAUUGCAGAAUCCCGUGAACCAUCGAGUCUUUGAACGCAAGUUGCGCCUCAAGCCAUUGGGUUGAGGGCACGUCUGCCUGGGCGUCACAUAUCGUUGCCUGAUGCCAGUUUCCUCGUGAUGGGUGACUGUGCAGGGCGAAUGAUGGCUUCCCGUGAGCAUUGUUGCCUCAUGGUUGGUUGAAAAUUGAGUCCUUGGUAGGGAGCGCCGUGAUAGAUGGUGGUUGAGUGACGAACGAGACCCAAUCAUGUGAGACCCCUACCGAAUUUGGCCUUCAUGACCCACAUGCGUCUUUGGAACGCUCAUGACGAGACCUCAGGUCAGGCGGGGCUACCCGCUGAGUUUAAGCAUAUCAAUAAGCGGAGGA